rnacentral:rRNA from 1 species
AUGCCUGUUCGAGCGUCAUUUGUACCCUCAAGCUUUGCUUGGUGUUGGGCGUCUUGUCUCCAGUUCGCUGGAGACUCGCCUUAA